rnacentral:rRNA from 1 species
CCUAGGGAGGCAGCAGUGGGGAAUUUUGGACAAUGGGCGAAAGCCUGAUCCAGCAAUGCCGCGUGAGUGAAGAAGGCCUUCGGGUUGUAAAGCUCUUUUGUCAGGGAAGAAACGGUGAGGGCUAAUAUCCCUUGCUAAUGACGGUACCUGAAGAAUAAGCACCGGCUAACUACGUGCCAGCAGCCGCGGUAAUACGUAGGGUGCAAGCGUUAAUCGGAAUUACUGGGCGUAAAGCGUGCGCAGGCGGUUUUGUAAGUCUGUCGUGAAAUCCCCGGGCUCAACCUGGGAAUUGCGAUGGAGACUGCAAGGCUAGAAUCUGGCAGAGGGGGGUAGAAUUCCACGUGUAGCAGUGAAAUGCGUAGAGAUGUGGAGGAACACCGAUGGCGAAGGCAGCCCCCUGGGUCAAGAUUGACGCUCAUGCACGAAAGCGUGGGGAGCAAACAGGAUUAGAUACCCUGGUAGUCCACGCCCUAAACGAUGUCUACUAGUUGUCGGGUUCUAAUUAACUUGGUAACGCAGCUAACGCGUGAAGUAGACCGCCUGGGGAGUACGGUCGCAAGAUUAAAACUUAAGGAAUUGACGG